UACGAAGGGGGCUAGCGUUGUUCGGAAUCACUGGGCGUAAAGCGCACGUAGGCGGGCGUGUCAGUCAGGGGUGAAAUCCGGAGCUCAACUCCGGGAACUGCCUCUGAUACAGCACGUCUUGAGUUCGAGAGAGGUGGGUGGAAUUCCUAGUGUAGAGGUGAAAUUCGUAGAUAUUAGGAAGAACACCGGUGGCGAAGGCGGCGCUCUGGGCCGGUACUGACACUGAGGAGCGAAAGCGUGGGUAGCAACA
rnacentral:rRNA from 1 species